rnacentral:rRNA from 1 species
UGGGGAAUAUUGCACAAUGGACGAAAGUCUGAUGCAGCCAUGCCGCGUGUGUGAAGAAGGCCUUCGGGUUGUAAGCACUUCAGCGAGGAGGAAAGGUCAGUAAGUAAUAUUUGCUGGCUGUGACGUUACUCGCAGAAGAAGCACCGGCUAAUUUAGUGCCAGCAGCCGCGGUAAUACUAAAGGUGCAAGCGUUAAUCGGAAUUACUGGGCGUAAAGCGCGCGUAGGUGGUUUGUUAAGUUGGAUGUGAAAGCCCAGGGCUCAACCUUGGAACUGCAUUCAAAACUGACUCACUAGAGUACGAGAGAGGUUAGUGGAAUUUUCCCUGUGUAGCGGUGAAAUGCGUAGAGAUGGGAAGGAACACCAGUGGCGAAGGCGACUGACUGGCUCGAUACUGACACUGAGGUGCGAAGCGUGGGGGAGCAAACAGGAUUAGAUACC